GGGCAGAGAAAGGUAUAUAAGGCAUGAGGAAACAAGAACUAAAGCAGUUCAGCCGAAACCCUUUCAGGUGUGAUGGACCCUUUCUCAGUUCUCCAGCAGUGCAUUGUAAAGAUGUCUUGGAAAAGAUGAGAAUAUGGUGUGAAGAUUUUCCAAGUCAGAUCAGAACCCAAACCCCGAGAAUGGUUCUUCUCACAAUGGUUUUCUAGAUGAGACUUCAAGGACUGUGUUGAACUGAAUGCAUCAAGUGAGAACCCCAAUAUCCGAGGACUUCGAACACUAAGGAAAAUGUACUGUGACUCCUGAAACAAAGUGCAGGGACUAAUACUUUGUUGAAAGACCGUAUUCUGAGCCGGCAUCAGCCUCAAAUGUGUGCCCACAUUGAUUUGUCCUGAAGCUGUGACUUAAGCAGCACAUUACAGAUGGUUGCAGGAGUGGCAGCUCCUUUAGGCCACAAGGAUUCUAUUAAGUGCCUUCGAAGAGGUCACCUAAUCUAUUGAAGGGGCCCCCGAACGAUGGAAGGCUCUUCCACACACACGCAUCUCCUCUACCCUCUACGUCUCAACAACAGGGUCAACGAUCUAGGAAUAUUAUUUCAGCUGCCUGGGAAAGGAGCGAGAGACCCUGGUAAAUGCUGAGGAGCAGUGUGAGUCGCUGAUUAAAUCCAAGAUGCAGCUGGAGGCCAGAGGCAAGGCGCUGUCUGGGCGGGAGGAGGAAGAAGAGGAGAUAAAUUCUGAGCUGACUGCCAGGGGGCGGAAACUGGAAGAUGAAUGUUCUGAGUUGAAAAAGGAAAUCAAUGACCUGGAAACAAUCUUGGCGAAGUCAGAGGAGAAGUGUGCAGCCGAGCACGAGGUCAGGAUCCUGACUGAGGAAGUGCACUCUCUAAAUGAGGCGGUCAGCAAACUUCGCAGAGCAGGGCAGGUCAUGCAGGAGGCCCAGCCGCAGACCCAGGAGCAUCUGCACAUAGAGGAGGAGAAACUCGGCAUCUUGAGCAAAGCAAGCCUGAAGCAGGGCCAGCAAGUUGAUAUAAAUACCUCUCAGGAAGGACAGAGCAUCAUAGCUUAUUUUAGCUACUGAGACUGAGAGUCUCACCAGAUCUACAGAGCCAGCUGCAAGAAACAAAAGGGAAGAAUUCAGAAUGAGUCAGUUAAAUUCAAAGGUAGAGAAUGAGUCAUCCUGGUGGCUGAACUUUGAACAGCAGUUGAAGAGCUUUGGUUGUUGACCUGAUACCUGUGUGCACCUGUGCUGAGAUCCAUAGGUGGUGAUUGGUGCUUCACUAACGAAUUCUCUGCCAAGAUGUCUUUGGCCUAAGCCAACUGUAGACAAAGUGGGAAAAUAACAUUAAUUACUAAAGUAAAGUACCGCACAGAUGCAUGACCCUAGGGAAAAUUACCUUUUAAGCUUAAAUUUCUUUCUGAGGGUAAUUAAAACCACACAGCUUAUUUGUUGAAUGUUUUCUGUGAAAUAGGAACCAAGAUAAAAUCCUGGGCAUGUAUUUUUCACUCAUUUAUC